GGAUGUUACAGGAUUAUGGACAUUCAACAGCAGAUGGUAAUUGCUGUACUUCUGAUGGGAGAGUUACAUCGUUGUACAGAGCCAAGAGCCAAGCCAAGACUGAGAGCGACCUCGUGUCCCUCUGUUACUAUAAAGAUGUGCUAAUACUAACGUCAGCAUUUAACUCUAGCCAUAUAAGGAAAAGACCCCCGAAUCCACAUUCCAGAGCUCUCGGACAAAGAAAGCCUUGUGACUUAUUGAUACCAUCUGUUACUUAUGUCAAUCCACACAUCCAUAUAUAUAAUCAAU
rnacentral:lncRNA from 1 species